CAGGAGGCGUGAGUUCACAUAUGGAAGGAAGACGGUUUUAAGAAUUGCAAAAGCUACUGGCCGAAGUAGACGCAUAUGCAGGUCCCCAAUAUUGCUCCACUUAUAAGAAACUGUAAAGCUUUUCAACUUGAGGAAACCAGCUAGCUUAUUCAUUAAAAUUUGUGGCGAACAUGAAGAUCUAAUUACCAAUGACACACAUGCAACUGGAAUAACUUCAUCAGCAUCCAAAACAUUAACUAUCACAUCUAGAUAUAUGGUUCCAUCAAGGUUGUUCUC
rnacentral:misc_RNA from 1 species